UGAGAUUUUCUUUGACAUUUUCUAUCUCCUUGCAAACUUAACAAGUUGGGAGGGAGUAUCAUAAAGGAUCUCAAAUUCAAUAUCAUUGUUGUUCUGGGGUUUCUCAAUGGGCUGAGGAACUAAGAAAGUUUGGCUACCUGGCAUUGAUUCCAAAUGGAAGUCUCCAGGUACUAUUAGGUAAAAGGCAUAGGGGAGUUAUUCUCUGUUUCCUUCUUCUAUUAAAUGUUGUGGUGAGAUAAAAGAACAUGGAAGAAGCAAUGGGCAAACAAGAGAGAAUUAAAAAUGCUUAAUAGUAUUCACUCCCCCACCCUAUUUCUGUCAAUUUCUGUGAAAAAUAUACACUGACUAUACAACAGAAGUCUUGCCUGGAAGCUCAGGGUGGCUACUCAGAUAGCUAAAAUUACAAAAAUAAAUUUAAAAGAGAAUGGGCAAAUGUCAACAUGAAGCAAACACAGAGAUCAGACAUAAAUGACUGAUAGCUCAGCUAUACUACAUCUUCCACAACAAAGAGAAGCUUGGCUUGUUGGUGGUUGAGCAACCUUUCCAUGAGGACUGGAUAGUCAAUUUUGGAUUGGGCGGCAACUGAAGAAGUGAACUGAGCAUUUAUUGAAAAUUUCUGGAACACAGAACAUCAUCUCAGCAUAAGAAUGGGAAUGGGCUCAGGGUUAUUCUGAUAUCAUCGAUGACAGUGCAGAGAAGAGACAUUCCUCUUAGCAUCUGCUCAGAGCUAAAAGAUUCCUUUUUUCUACCUCUUGCAAGCAGGGAACAUGUCAGAAAGAGGACCACAACCAUGAUGCUUGGAGGAAGACCUUCAGGCACUGAGAUCCCUCACCAACCCACGGCUGGUCUUUGCCUCAUAGGGCAAAAAUACCCAGACAUUAUACAGGAGAUAAUGGUACUAUGCCAAUCAUAAGUCUUCAGAGUUCUCUUGUUUGGCUUUUUCCAGUUGGCUCCAAAGUUAUCAUUCAUGGAAUCAUAUUUCCACUCAUAAAAUGACCCUUUUCAUUUCUGGAAGGAAUGAAGGUUCCCAAAUAAAAG